rnacentral:rRNA from 1 species
GAUGAACGCUGGCGAGAUGCUUUACACAUGCAAGUCGUACGAGAGUUUCAAACUCAAGUGGCGGACGGGUGAGUAACACGUAAGAAUUUACCUUUAGGAGGGGGACAACAGCUGGAAACGGCUGCUAAUACCCCAUAUGCUUUCGAGUCAAAUGGAUCUUUCCGCCUAGAGAGAAGCUUGCGGCUGAUUAGCUUGUUGGUGAGGUAAUGGCUUACCAAGGCGACGAUCAGUAUCUGGUUUGAGAGGACGAUCAGACACACUGGAACUGAGACACGGUCCAGACUCCUACGGGAGGCAGCAGUGGGGAAUUUUCCGCAAUGGGCGCAAGCCUGACGGAGCAAUCUCGCGUGAGGGAUGACUGCCUAUGGGUUGUAAACCUCUUUUUUCUAGGGAGGAAUCAAUGACGUGUACCUGAAGAAUAAGCAUCGGCUAACUCCGUGCCAGCCGCCGCGGUAAU